GAUAAACGCUGACAGAAUGCUUAACACAUGCAAGUCGAUGAUGGGAGCUAGCUUGCUAGAAGAAGUCAUGGCGGACGGGUGAGUAACGUGUAAAGAACUUACCAUAUAGACUGGGAUAACAGAGGGAAACUUCUGAUAAUACUGGAUAAGUUAGUAGUAGCAUUACUAAGUAAUGAAAGGUAGCAAUACGCUAUAUGAGAGCUUUGCAUCCUAUUAGCUAGUUGGUGGGGUAAAAGCCUACCAAGGCGAUGAUAGGUAGCCGGCCUGAGAGGGUGGACGGCCACAAGGGGACUGAGAUACGGCCCUUACUCCUACGGGAGGCAGCAGUGGGGAAUAUUGGACAAUGGAGGCAACUCUGAUCCAGCAAUUCUGUGUGUGUGAAGAAGGUUUUAGGACUGUAAAACACUUUUAGUAGGGAAGAAAGAAAUGACGGUACCUACAGAAGAAGCGACGGCUAAAUACGUGCCAGCAGCCGCGGUAAUACGUAUGUCGCGAGCGUUAUCCGGAAUUAUUGGGCUUAAAGGGCAUCUAGGCGGUUAAACAAGUUGAAGGUGAAAACCUGUGGCUCAACCAUAGGCUUGCCUACAAAACUGUAUAACUAGAGUACUGGAAAGGUGGGUGGAACUACACGAGUAGAGGUGAAAUUCGUAGAUAUGUGUAGGAAUGCCGAUGAUGAAGAUAACUCACUGGACAGCAACUGACGCUGAAGUGCGAAAGCUAGGGGAGCAAACAGG
rnacentral:rRNA from 1 species